CUCGCCAUUAUCCUCUCGUCACUGUCUGCCAAUGCAUGAAAGAGGAAAGACUGCCAUUUGAGAGUGCCAAUACUGUACAGUGACUUGGAAUGAGGAUAAUCUGAUGCAUAAUUCCAGAGAGAGAGAGAGAGAGAGAGAGAGAGAGAGAGAGAGAGAGAGAGAGAGAGAGAGAGAGAGAGAGAGAGAGAGAGA